rnacentral:lncRNA from 1 species
AUGGCCGCCAGGGGUCGCUGGGCCGGCGCGCAGGCCGCUUUCUCCAUUCAUAAAUCGGGCCUCGCUCCCCGCCCCUCCGCGCUCGCUCAGACCCUCCUGCCCGGGGCUGGGCAGGGACGCCCCCGGACGUGUGUAGGAGGGUUACCGGUCCCUAGAGACCCCUGGGGGAGGGCAAGGGGCUCCUUCAUACCCCCUCCAAGUGCCGGCGGACCCACUCCCCCAGCGGGACCUCCCUGCACCUCGGGGGCGGUGGGGGGCUGCGGGGAGAAGGUGGAGGAGCGAGGGCGCUGGGGGUUCUGCAGAAGCCUGCGCGGAGGAGGGCAGAGCCUCCCGGGGACCCUGCCUCCCAGCACCCAGCUCGUGCCCCGAGGCUCUUGGCUCCCGCCGAGGGUCCUUUGGAACCCGCACCCCGGGCCUGGGGGGGGGGGUCCCCCAAGCCCCGCACCUGUUGGCUCCGGGACCCCGGCGUCCUCGGCUGCUGGCCCCCGGCCCCCGCACCGGGGACUCCGCGUCCCUGCCCCCGAAGGCCGGGCUCGGGGGCCCCGGGCCGGGGGAGAGGUCGGGGCAGCCCCCUCCCGAGGCUGCGCCGCCUGGGCUCGCUCGGCUGGGCGCGAGCCGCAGCUCCUCCGCGGGCUGUUGCUGGGCGCGGGCUCCGCCGGGCUGCGCGCCGCGGGGAGGGGGGGCGAGCGGGAGGGGCGGGCCGGAGGGAGCCCCCAGCCGGUCUGGGCUCCGUGUCGCCCAGCCCGAGACCGGGAGGGCGGGGGAGACGCUCGUUCCUCCUCGCCUGCCGCUCCAUGCUUCCAUCCCACCUCCAUUCAUGCGUCCAGCCGUUCGUUCAUUCAUGCGUUCGCGUUCGCUCGGCUUCUCCGUGUCCGCUCGCCGCUCGGCGUUCAGAGCGCACCUACUGUGUGCCAGCGCGGCCCUGGGCAGCCCCGGGGGGCCACAGCGCGGGGGGGUCCCAGCCGCACCUCCCCUCGCGGCCUCCCCUGGCUGACGAGGACGGUGGCACAGGUGGGUCGCGGGGUGAGAGCGGCUGCUGCCCUGGCAGGUGCAGCCAGCUCCCAGAGGGGCCGGGAGGGAGCCCCGGUCUGCCCAUCUCCCAGCCCCCCUUCUAUCGGCCCCCAAUCCUUUCCUUCAUACCUGCCCCCCACCUCCCAAGAUGGAUAG